rnacentral:rRNA from 1 species
UACGGAGGGGGCUAGCGUUGUUCGGAAUUACUGGGCGUAAAGCGCACGUAGGCGGAUCUUUAAGUCAGAGGUGAAAUCCCAAGGCUCAACCUUGGAACUGCCUUUGAUACUGGAGAUCUUGAGUCCGGGAGAGGUGAGUGGAACUGCGAGUGUAAGAGGUGAAAUUCGUAGAUAUUCGCAAGAACACCAGUGCGAAGCGGCUCACUGGCC